AUCACCACCGUCUCAUCUUGUUUCGACCGCCAAAACUUGUCCUUUGCCAAGUUUCGUUUCACUAGGCUGCAAGCGACGGCGCGCCUAUUACCGGAUAUAUUUCACGUCGGCCAUCCUAUCAAGGACACCUU
ensembl:ncRNA F02C12.9 ncRNA